AUUCACACAACAAGUCCUUCUC
rnacentral:siRNA from 1 species